CGAGAAUAAAUGGGUUUGCAUAGAUUGAAAUUGGUGGUUGGAUAUGUGGAUUUUGAAAGUUAUGGUUGGAUUUGAGAUUGAAAGUUAGGGUUUGAAAUUUGGAAGUUAGGAUUUGAGAUUUGUGGAUUUUGAAAGUUAGGGUUGGAUUUGAGAUUGAAAGUUGUGUGGAAAAGAUAGAAAUUGAAAGUUAGGGUUUGAGAUUGAAAGUUGCAUGGAAAAGAUAGAAAUUUAAGGGUUGGAUUUGGGAUUCUGAGAUUGAAUGUAUUCACAAUGAUUGAAUGGGUUUGCAGAGAACGAUGUUGGUGGUUUGAUUUGUGAAGUAAGUUUGCUUUAACUGGCUUGUGCAGAUGAAGUCAAGACGAUGAAGUGGUUCUGCCAUUUGAGAAUUGAAGUUGAUGCCGAGGAACUGAAGAUGGCAAUGUUGCUAGGUGUUGGUGCUGCUACAAAAUGGUGGUUGUGCAAUGAAUAGGCCUGAUUUAGGAGACAGGGAAUGAGAAUAUUCAGAAAAGGUAAAUUGCCAAGGAAUGAGAAUAUUGCAGGUGGUGGUGCUGUUAUUGAGUGUUGGAAAUGGUUGUCUUGUAAACAGUUAGGAAGUGGGUGCUGAUGUUAUUGCCAUUAUCACUGCUUGCCUUUCUCUCCCCAUCGAAAAGGUAAAUUGUUAUUUCAUUUAUCUGUUUCUGCAAUGAUUUUGAUUAUGUGUUUUUUGGAAUUGUGAGAUUUUGUGUUUCUUGACCUCAAUUUGGCUUUUUAUGUUGAAUUUUUUGUGUUUAUCUUGGUGCUUAGGGUAUUUAUGAAUUGGGGUUUAUCUGAUGGAUGCACUUCCCCCAUAAUUGUUAGCACAUGGGAUGUGAUAUGAAUGAUAAUGUAACAUUGUUGUUUAAUCAAAAAAAGUUGGUGUUCUUCUUUCGAAGAGGACUAUCAUUGUUUUUCAAGAUAAACUCAUUUCCUUUCUGAAGUUUUUGUUGUUUAUUUCUCAAGCUAGACUCAAAAAUCUUUUUCUGUGAGAAGCACAAAUAUGACUUCUAGUUCCAAUGUCCUGAUCUUGAAAUCUAAGUCAUCAAAUGCUGAAAGCAAGGAGAUGAAGAUCAAUAUGACACAAAGGAGAGUUGGUGUCCUGAUUCUGACAUGGAAGUUGACGACGAGAGCAGCCCUCUAUCAAAUAAGUCGCAGCCUGCAAGAAUGAAGAGAGAAGUCGUCGAACCUAACGUUAAAGAUAUGGUAUUUCGUGUCCUGAUCUCAAAUUUGAUUCACUUCAUGAGGAUCAGAAAGUUGCAGUAGAUCAAUUCAAAGGCGCGGAAACAAAAGCAGAAGAAAACUCAGGCUCUAAGGUAUGACAGAGGUCUUGAAGACCAUCAGUGUAGAAGAAUAAGAUAAAAGAAAUCAACAUUUACGGGUGUUCACAAAUUAAAAGGCAACCACCAGUAAUGUUCCACAACAAUGGCAACCAAACAAUGGUCUUAUUAUGACCAAUGAUAUCUCAGAUGUCAACCUUGAAGAAGCAGUGUUAUUCCAUUAUUAUUUUUUCAUGUUGAUACGAUCGUGGUGAAAAAUAAAAUCAGAAUAUUAGGUCUUGGAGACCUUGGAGUUCAGGGCAUUGGAAUUUCAAUAGGGAAGCCAGAUCUCUACGUCGUUGCUGCUGGUAUCAUUCUUUAUAGUUCAGGCCAAAUUCUCCAGGUUAACAAGAAAGUUGUGUAAUCUUUAGACGAUCCUGAGGAGUACCCUACCUUGUUCGAGGAUUGCCAGGUUGCUAUGUGGAAUCUCAAAUUUAGACAAGGAGGAAGAAGAAAACGAAGAAGAACAUGAAAGCCAGGAAUAAGAGGUUUCUGAGUUCGUAGCUGAUUGCACAGAGAUAAACAAUAAGUGCCACUACUUACAAGGCUAGAUAUGAAGCAACAAAAAGCUAUACUUAUUUGAGCAUGUAGGUAAUGAAUGAUGUUGAGAUUGUCCCUUGGUCUUGUGCCUUUAAGAUUGUAUCUACUACUGCUAUUACACUUAACAUUACAACUACAGAAAUUGUAUGUUCUGAAAACAUAGGAAAUGUUUUCUAUACUUGUCAUUCUUUUGAUAGUAGGCACAAAAUGCAGGGAAUAUGAUGUUGAUUUCCAAAUGAACAGGGAAACUUUAUUUUG